AACCCAUGAUAAAAGAACAUUCUCAAGAGAUCUUUAAAUCUCUCCCAUGCAUCAUAUAGUAUCUCCAUAUCAAAUUGAACAAAGAAAGAGACAUCGUUUCUCAACUU
rfam:Gossypium arboreum cultivar AKA8401 contig_20346_1, whole genome shotgun sequence.